GUAUAGCUCAGUUGGUAGAGUGCUUGCCUUGCAUGCAUGAAGCCCUGAGUUCAAUCCCCAGCAC
rnacentral:tRNA from 1 species